CGCAUCUGUGCAUGCAGCAUAUCAAUAAGCGGAGGAAAAGAAACUAACAAGGAUUCCCUUAGUAACGGCGAGUGAAGCGGGAAGAGCUCAAAUUUGAAAUCUUCAAGGUUUUACCUUGACGAAUUGUAGUUUAAAGAAGUGUUUUCUGUUGAAGUUUUGGUAAAAGUUCUUUGGAAUAGGACAUCAUAGAGGGUGAGAAUCCCGUAUUUGACCAUUAUUUUCAGCUGUGUGAUACACUUUCAAAGAGUCGGAUUGUUUGGGAAUGCAGUCCAAAAUGGGUGGUAAAUUUCAUCUAAAGCUAAAUAUUGGCGAGAGACCGAUAGCGAACAAGUACCGUGAGGGAAAGAUGAAAAGAACUUUGAAAAGAGAGUUAAACAGUACGUGAAAUUGUCAAAAGGGAAGCGUUUGACACCAGUGUUGUUUUCUCGAAAAUCAAUUAAAAAGAGUUAGAUUUUGUUGUGUAUUGACCUUAACAGCUUGCAUUUCAAUUUUCUUGCUUUUUUUAAUGCACUUUUCCGUUUAACAAGUCAACAUCAGUUUCUUUUGUUGUAAAAAGGUCAUUGGAAGGUGGCUUUCUUUUCGGAGAAAGUGUUUAUAGCCUUUGACUCCUGCAAUCGGAGAGACUGAGGUCUGCAGCGUAGAUCCUUCGGGGUUAGAUACAUUUGUGCUAAGUUAUAGCUUUUUAUAGACAACUUGUUGACUAUGAUUUAGUCUUGUAGCUUACCCGCUUAUGCUAUUUUACCUACGCUUAGGAUGUUGACGCGCGUGUGUGCGUGAGUCUAUACAUGACUCUGUGCAUAUCAAUAAGCGGAGGAAAAGGUGGAAAUGAACGGUAUACCUACGCUUAGGAUGUUGACGCGCGUGUGUGCGUG
rnacentral:rRNA from 1 species